CCUAAGACAUGCAGUCGAACGGUAACGACACUAGCUUGCUAGUGGGCGACGAGCGGUUGACGGGUGAGUAACGCGUAGGAAUCUACCUAGUAGUGGGGGAUAGCCAAGGGAAACUUUGGGUAAUACCGCAUACGAUCUACGGAUGAAAGGGGGCCUCUCUUUGAAGCUCUCGCUAUUAGAUGAGCCUGCGUAAGAUUAGCUUGUUGGUGGGGUAAUGGCCUACCAAGGCGACGAUCUUUAGCUGGUCUGAGAGGAUGAUCAGUCACACUGGAACUGAGACACGGUCCAGACUCCUACGGGAGGCAGCAGUCGGGAAUAUUGGACAAUGGGGGGAACCCUGAUCCAGCCAUGCCGCGUGUGUGAAGAAGGCUCUAGGGUUGUAAAGCACUUUUAGUAAGGAGGAAGGCUCAGUAGUUAAUACCUGCUGGGAUUGACGUUACUUACAGAAAAAGCACCGGCUAAUUUCGUGCCAGCAGCCGCGGUAAUACGAAAGGUGCAAGCGUUAAUCGGAAUUACUGGGCGUAAAGCGCGCGUAGGCGGCUUAGUAAGUUAGAUGUGAAAGCCCCGGGCUCAACCUGGGAACUGCAUCUAAAACUGCUAGGCUAGAGUAUGGUAGAGGAUGGCGGAAUUUCCUGUGUAGCGGUGAAAUGCGUAGAUAUAGGAAGGAACAUCAGUGGCGAAGGCGGCCAUCUGGACCAAUACUGACGCUGAGGUGCGAAAGCGUGGGGAGCAAACAGGAUUAGAUACCCUGGUAGUCCACGCCGUAAACGAUGAGAACUAGCCGUUGGACAUCUUGCAUGUUUAGUGGCGCAGCUAACGCGAUAAGUUCUCCGCCUGGGGAGUACGGGCCGCAGGUUAAAACUCAAAUGAUUUGACGGGGGCCGCACAGCGGUGGAGCAUGUGGUUUAUUCGACCCAACGCGAAAACCUUAACUACCCUUGACACCCUCGAACUUUCUAAAAUUGAUUGGUGCCUUCGGGAACCGAGGGACGGGGGUGCUGGCUGGUCUCACCUCGGUCGGGGAAGGUGGGUUAAGUCCCGAACGAGGCCACCUUUAUCCUAUUUGCCGGGGUCCGGCCGGAACCUUAGGAAACGGCCAAAAAAAAUGGAGGAAGGGGGGGA
rnacentral:rRNA from 1 species